rnacentral:rRNA from 1 species
UACAGAGGUCCCAAGCGUUGUUCGGAUUUACUGGGCGUAAAGGGUGCGUAGGUGGUCGGAUAAGUCCGGUGUGAAAUCUCCGAGCUUAACUCGGAAAUGGCAUUGGAUACUAUUCGGCUCGAGGAUUGGAGGGGGGACUGGAAUUCUCGGUGUAGCAGUGAAAUGCGUAGAUAUCGAGAGGAACACCAGUGGCGAAGGCGAGUCCCUGGACAACUCCUGACACUAAGGCACGAAAGCUAGGGGAG